rnacentral:rRNA from 1 species
CUGAGUACGGCGGAACACGUGAAAUUCCGUCGGAAUCCGGGAGGACCAUCUCCCAAGGCUAAAUACUCCCUAGUGACCGAUAGUGAACCAGUACCGUGAGGGAAAGGUGAAAAGCACCCCGGAAGGGGAGUGAAACAGUUCCUGAAACCGUGUGCCUACAAGUAGUUAGAGCCCGUUAAUGGGUGAUAGCGUGCCUUUUGUAGAAUGAACCGGCGAGUUACGAUUUGUUGCAAGGUUAAGCGGAAAAAGCGGAGCCGUAGCGAAAGCGAGUCUGAAUAGGGCGCAUAAGUAACAGGUCGUAGACCCGAAACCAGGUGAUCUACCCAUGUCCAGGAUGAAGGUAAGGUAAUACUUACUGGAGGUCCGAACCCACGCACGUUGAAAAGUGCGGGGAUGAGGUGUGGGUAGCGGAGAAAUUCCAAUCGAACUUGGAGAUAGCUGGUUCUCUCCGAAAUAGCUUUAGGGCUAGCCUCGAGGUAAAGAGUCAUGGAGGUAGAGCACUGUUUGGACUAGGGGCCCUUCUCGGGUUACCGAAUUCAGAUAAACUCCGAAUGCCAUGUACUUAUACUCGGGAGUCAGACUGCGAGUGAUAAGAUCCGUAGUCGAAAGGGAAACAGCCCAGACCACCAGUUAAGGUCCCCAAAUAUAUGUUAAGUGGAAAAGGAUGUGGGGUUGCUUAGACAACCAGGAUGUUGGCUUAGAAGCAGCCACCAUUGAAAGAGUGCGUAAUAGCUCACUGGUCGAGUGACCCCGCGCCGAAAAUGUACCGGGGCUAAACAUAUUACCGAAACUGUGGAUGAACCUCUUUAGAGGUUCGUGGUAGGAGAGCGUUCUAAGGGCGGUGAAGUCAGACCGGAAGGACUGGUGGAGCGCUUAGAAGUGAGAAUGCCGGUAUGAGUAGCGAAAGAAGGGUGAGAAUCCCUUCCACCGAAUAUCUAAGGUUUCCUGAGGAAGGCUCGUCCGCUCAGGGUUAGUCGGGACCUAAGCCGAGGCCGAUAGGCGUAGGCGAUGGACAACAGGUAGAGAUUCCUGUACCAGUGCUAAUUGUUUAACCGAUGGGGUGACACAGAAGGAUAGGGAAUCGCACGAAUGGAAAUGUGCGUCCAAGCAGUGAGUGUGAGAAGUAGGCAAAUCCGCUUCUCGCGAAGCAUGAGCUGUGAUGGGGAAGGAAAUUAAGUACGGAAGUUCCUGAUUUCACGCUGUCAAGAAAAGCCUCUAGGAAGAGUAGUACUGCCCGUACCGCAAACCGACACAGGUAGAUGAGGAGAGAAUCCUAAGGUGAGCGAGAGAACUCUCGUUAAGGAACUCGGCAAAAUGACCCCGUAACUUCGGGAGAAGGGGUGCUCUAUUAGGGUGCAAGCCCGAGAGAGCCGCAGUGAAUAGGCCCAGGCGACUGUUUAGCAAAAACACAGGUCUCUGCAAAACCGUAAGGUGACGUAUAGGGGCUGACGCCUGCCCGGUGCUGGAAGGUUAAGAGGAGUGCUUAGCUUCGGCGAAGGUACGAAUUGAAGCCCCAGUAAACGGCGGCCGUAACUAUAACGGUCCUAAGGUAGCGAAAUUCCUUGUCGGGUAAGUUCCGACCCGCACGAAAGGCGCAACGAUCUGGGCACUGUCUCAACGAGAGACUCGGUGAAAUUAUAGUACCUGUGAAGAUGCAGGUUACCCGCGACAGGACGGAAAGACCCCGUGGAGCUUUACUGCAACCUGAUAUGGAAUGUUUGUACCGCUUGUACAGGAUAGGUAGGAGCCGAAGAGACGUGUGCGCUAGCAUACGAGGAGGCAAUGGUGGGAUACUACCCUGGCUGUAUGACCAUUCUAACCCGCCACGCUUAGCGCGUGGGGAGACAGUGUCAGGUGGGCAGUUUGACUGGGGCGGUCGCCUCCUAAAGAGUAACGGAGGCGCCCAAAGGUUCCCUCAGAAUGGAUGGAAAUCAUUCGCAGAGUGUAAAGGCACAAGGGAGCUUGACUGCGAGACUGACAAGUCGAGCAGGGACGAAAGUCGGGCUUAGUGAUCCGGUGGUUCCGCAUGGAAGGGCCAUCGCUCAACGGAUAAAAGCUACCCCGGGGAUAACAGGCUUAUCUCCCCCAAGAGUCCACAUCGACGGGGAGGUUUGGCACCUCGAUGUCGGCUCGUCGCAUCCUGGGGCUGUAGUCGGUCCCAAGGGUUGGGCUGUUCGCCCAUUAAAGCGGCACGCGAGCUGGGUUCAGAACGUCGUGAGACAGUUCGGUCCCUAUCCGUCGCGGGCGCAGGAAAUUUGAGAGGAGCUGUCCUUAGUACGAGAGGACCGGGAUGGACACACCGCUGGUGUACCAGUUGUUCCGCCAGGAGCAUCGCUGGGUAGCUAUGUGUGGCAGGGAUAAACGCUGAAAGCAUCUAAGCGUGAAGCCCCCCUCAAGAUGAGAUUUCCCAUUUCUUCGG